GCACUAGUGGUUCGGUGGUAGAAUUCUUGCCUUCCAGGCAAAAGACUGGGUUCCAUUCCUAGCCAGUGCA
rnacentral:tRNA from 1 species